UUACUAAUAGUAUAAGUAGUAUCUCUGUUUUCCAUUCAGAGGGUUUGGUUGUUUCCGAUUAGUAAA
rnacentral:tRNA from 1 species